CCUACGGGAGGCAGCAGUGGGGGAUAUUGGACAAUGGGGGGAACCCUGAUCCAGCGAUGCCGCGUGAACGAGGAAGGUCUUCGGAUCGUAAAGUUCUGUUGAAGGGGAAAAAGAGCGGAGAGAGGAAAUGAACUCCGAUUGAUAUUACCCUUCGAGGAAGUCACGGCUAACUACGUGCCAGCAGCCGCGGUAAUACGUAGGUGGCGAGCGUUAUCCGGAAUGAUUGGGCGUAAAGGGUGCGUAGGCGGCCUGCUAAGUCUGGAGUGAAAGGUACCGGCUCAACCGGUACAGGCUCUGGAAACUGG
rnacentral:rRNA from 1 species